CCCAGUGUGGCGUUCAAACUUACAACCCUGAGAUCAAGAGUCAGACUCUCAACUGACAAAGCCACCCAGGCACACCUUUAUAAUCAGUUUUAAGCCUUAUAGCUAUUGCCUCUCAAACCUUCGUAGAAAUAACGUGCCCAGUAGGGUGAUGCUAGCUCAGCACUUUGAGAUGAUCUUCAACAUUUAUCUCAGACGGGAAAUGCCUGACAGUUCUCCCUCCUCCUCUUCCCUGUUACUCAAAUGUGACUUCACCGGUUUUCGUUCUACACACUUUCCCUCUCAUGGGGGACAUGACCACCAGGAAAGAUCCUUUCUGACACCAAGGGGAUGAAAACACUAAAUAUGAAAAAAAAAAAACCAAAAAACAAAACCACCACAACACAACCCUGACUUUUGAUUAGCAGUGCUUUUGAGAAAGACCUUGAUCAAAAGGGGGAGAUGUGAAAAUAAAGGAAACUUUAUUUAAAAUGGAGUCAGGAAGCCCUGAAGGGGGAGCUCUCAUGCAUUACCUCUUGGUGGAAGAAGCAUUAUCCCACAAUUCCCAGCAGGAAGCAGCUUGCUUUUGGUAUCCCAGCCUGAGGAAGGAUGACUUUCUCCUUGCCCAGCAACAGCCCAGUCAGUGAGAGGUCAAUGAAACAGUCCCUCCUCUUUUCCCCUGGGAAAGCAAGCCCCUCUCCUCUGUUCUCUGGGUUUGCCUAUGGAUUGCCACAGUUUGCUUGUUCUGAAUUACAAUUCCUCUGCUCUUCCUCAAUAAACUCAUUUUGCUGGUAAAAUAACGGCUCUUUUGUUUUUUAAGGUCAAUGGAAGCUGAAAGCACCUGAGGUUUCUGGGAACAGACUGACGGGGUCUGAAAAACUGAGUAUUACUCAUCAGGUGGGACCAGGGGCCAGAGGUCUGCGUUUCCGCUUCCCCUCAUUGCUGCUCCAUCCAUCCUGUGCCUGAAAUACAAGUAGGCUAAUUCCAAGGUGUAGCCGGAGUUGAGAACCACAUUGCUCUCGUCCCACUGUUCAUGUCUGUCAUCUAGUCAAUGUCAUUCUGCGGGACUAGGGACAUGGAGAGCUGACACCAUGAUGAUCUAGCUUUGCUGCCUAUAUCCACUGAUCCUGGAUCCACCUGUCAUGAGUCUGAAGACCUAUGGGUUGUUCAACUCCAGAAGCCCUCGAGUUGGCAGGACUUCACACUCUCCUCCUCAACAGAAGUACAUACGUCUGAGGGGAAAUCAUGUGUCCCCCUUUGUUCCUAUCACUUCUAGGAGGGAAGAACUCUACUCCUUUGUUGUGCUCCUCUUAACCUCUUGGCAUAGGUUAGGGCCUGGGAUGCGCAUUACCUCUGCCUUGUAAUCCUGGACAGAAACCCCUGCCCAACUUCUGCAAGAUCAGAAGACGUAUUACUAUCUGUUCUGUUUCAGUUGCUUUAAAUAGACCUCACAUUUUUACAUAUGUAGGAGUGUCAAUAAUAAUAAUAAUGAUAAUAGGAAUUUGUCCAACGUAUACUGAAUAAUAUUAUGUUUUAGGAAUUACA